CUUUCUUUGCUGGCGACCGGCGCACGGGUGAGUAACACGUAUCCAACCUGCCCUUUACUCGGGGAUAGCCUUUCGAAAGAAAGAUUAAUACCCGAUAGCAUAAUGAUUCCGCAUGGUUUCAUUAUUAAAGGAUUCCGGUAAAGGAUGGGGAUGCGUUCCAUUAGGUUGUUGGUGAGGUAACGGCCCACCGAGCCUUCGAUGGAUAGGGGUUCUGAGAGGAAGGUCCCCCACAUUGGAACUGAGACACGGUCCAA
rnacentral:rRNA from 1 species